GCACUUUUAACCGAGUUCACCACAUGCACGCCUCACGGAGAGGAUAGGAAUACUAAUCAAUUGGUUUUCUUUGCGACUCGCUAACAGAGCGCAGCAAGCAGCAACAGCAGCUCGCAACUUGGAGAUCCUCCGAUUCAAAUGUGUUCUGAUUGAUUUGAGAUGUUUUAUUUAGUCUUUAUCCAUCACUAUGUUCAUUGUUGGAUUCAUCAGUAUUGUUGACUGUGAAUUUCAUACAUGGAGAUACCGUUUUGUUUAAUAGACAGAGACAGCGGAUUCAUAACGACUAUGUAACAGAGCAGACUUCUGGUGGAUUUAUGGAUUUCUGCCCGAGCUGCUUGCUUGUGGGUGUGUGGGUGUUUAGGUGACUGUGUGAAUAAUUGUGUGAGGAUUCCGCACGUCUAUUCUCAACAGUUAAUGCUGGCAGAGAGCAGAGAAGUGUGUUUUUGAGACACUUAGCGUGGAAACACAUACACAGAAACCUACACACACACACUCAGUGCUGUCACACACUGUCUGCCGAUGAGCUCUGUCAUGCAGUCGUUUCUCUCUCCAGUGAACAAGGCUAUUCUAGUAGCUCUGUUCAUCUUCGCCAUCCUCCUCAUCCUCUAUGUGAUCCUCUGGUACAUCUGUAGAGACGUGGACUGCGACCACGGCAUCUGAUCUGAUUAACAUCGGGAACACCACCGAAUAACCUAACGAAUAACCUAACGGUGGAGAGAGACCCGUCUGAAAGAGGGUCACCCUGAGCUACCCAGACAACAUGGCAGAGGUGGUAUAGUGAUGGGAGGCAUCAGGGGAAUCUGCUUUGAGACCGCAAGACACAUGGCCAGACUGGGGGCACACGUUAUCAUAGCUGGACAGCAUGAGCGGGAGGGUGUGUCUACUGUGAAGACGAUUCGUGAGGAGAACAGAGAGGCCAAAGGUCACAGUCCACACAACCCUGUUUGGUUUUGUGUCUCCUUGGCUCUGGAUAUUACUGAUUGGCUGGAGAGUGAACACACCUUUUCAAAGAGCCUGUCCCAGGGAGCGUCUACGGUCCUCUACACUGCUCUGUCUCCGUCUCUGGAAGGGGAGAGAGGGGGCUACAGGAGCAAUGGAC